UACGUAGGGUGCGAGCGUUAAUCGGAAUUACUGGGCGUAAAGCGUGCGUAGGCGGUCCGCGAAGUCUGAUGUGAAAGCCCCGGGCUCAACCUGGGAACUGCAUUGGAAACUAACGGGCUCGAGUGUGGCAGAGGGGGGUGGAAUUCCACGUGUAGCAGUGAAAUGCGUAGAGAUGUGGAGGAACACCGAUGGCGAAGGCAGCCCCCUGGGCUAACACUGACGCUCAGGCACGAAAGCCAGGGGAGCGAACGGG
rnacentral:rRNA from 1 species